rnacentral:lncRNA from 1 species
UCCGCCCAGGCCGAUCCCGGAGCCGGCGCUGCCGCGAGGCACCAAACCAAAGCCCCGACCUCGGGGCGUGCAGAGCUUUUUAUUUACUGCGCCUUUUGCCUUACUCCAGACUCUGCGGUGAGCUGGUUUGUACCCCCAUUUGAAAAAUUAAAAUCCACAGAACUCGAGCUCCCAAGUGCAUUUUGAACAACCGGGGACUACUGAGCCAGGCACCCAAAAGGAGGAGCCCACAUGCGUGCUCUGCAGCGCGCGCGCGCACACACAGCAAGCAGCUCGGAUCGGGGCUCCCUGGUGCUUCAAGAUCAUUACUACGCCAAGAAUUCAGUUUUAGGAGCUCUGGUAGAACAGAGGGCUUGCAUAGCAGGCUGGACGCAACAACAACAACAACAAAAAAGUGAAUUAAGCUCACACCUAAACACUGAAGCACAGCCCUCCCCUCCCGAAGGAACAACGGAUCUCUCAACACAAACAUCCGCCUGGAGGGCAGACCCCGGAGCUCACUCCCUGGCUGUUAGCCUAACCUCUGCAGUCUCCUGCCCCGCCCCGAGAACAAACCACUAAAGCCAAUAAAAGACCUUCGUU